AUUGAACGCUGGCGGCAGGCCUAACACAUGCAAGUCGAGCGGAUGACGGGAGCUUGCUCCUUGAUUCAGCGGCGGACGGGUGAGUAAUGCCUAGGAAUCUGCCUGGUAGUGGGGGACAACGUUUCGAAAGGAACGCUAAUACCGCAUACGUCCUACGGGAGAAAGCAGGGGACCUUCGGGCCUUGCGCUAUCAGAUGAGCCUAGGUCGGAUUAGCUAGUAGGUGAGGUAAUGGCUCACCUAGGCGAAGAUCCGUAACUGGUCUGAGAGGAUGAUCAGUCAGACUGGAACUGAGACACGGUCCAGACUCCUACGGGAGGCAGCAGUGGGGAAUAUUGGACAAUGGGCGAAAGCCUGAUCCAGCCAUGCCGCGUGUGUGAAGAAGGUCUUCGGAUUGUAAAGCACUUUAAGUUGGGAGGAAGGGCAGUAAGUUAAUACCUUGCUGUUUUGACGUUACCGACAGAAUAAGCACCGGCUAACUCUGUGCCAGCCGCCGCCGUAAAAC
rnacentral:rRNA from 1 species